rnacentral:rRNA from 1 species
CCUACGGGAGGCAGCAGUGAGGAAUAUUGGUCAAUGGGCGAGAGCCUGAACCAGCCAAGUCGCGUGAGGGAGUACUGCCCUAUGGGUUGUAAACCUCUUUUGUCGGGGAGCAAAAGCCGGACGUGUCCGGCUGUGAGAGUACCCGAAGAAAAAGCAUCGGCUAACUCCGUGCCAGCAGCCGCGGUAAUACGGAGGAUGCGAGCGUUAUCCGGAUUUAUUGGGUUUAAAGGGUGCGCAGGCGGAUUUUUAAGUCAGCGGUAAAAUCGUGGGGCUCAACCCCAUCCAGCCGUUGAAACUGGGGAUCUAGAGUGUGCGAGAGGUAUGCGGAAUGCGUGGUGUAGCGGUGAAAUGCAGAGAUAUCACGCAGAACCCCGAUUGCGAAGGCAGCAUACCGGUGCACAACUGACGCUCAGGCACGAAAGCGUGGGUAUCGAACAGGAUUAGAUACCCUAGUAGUC